UGGGGAAUUUUGGACAAUGGGCGCAAGCCUGAUCCAGCCAUGCCGCGUGCGGGAAGAAGGCCUUCGGGUUGUAAACCGCUUUUGUCAGGGAAGAAAUCCUCUGAGUUAAUACCUCGGGAGGAUGACGGUACCUGAAGAAUAAGCACCGGCUAACUACGUGCCAGCAGCCGCGGUAAUACGUAGGGUGCAAGCGUUAAUCGGAAUUACUGGGCGUAAAGCGUGCGCAGGCGGUUUUGUAAGACAGAGGUGAAAUCCCCGGGCUCAACCUGGGAACUGCCUUUGUGACUGCAAGGCUUGAGUGCGGCAGAGGGGGAUGGAAUUCCGCGUGUAGCAGUGAAAUGCGUAGAUAUGCGGAGGAACACCGAUGGCGAAGGCAAUCCCCUGGGCCUGCACUGACGCUCAUGCACGAAAGCGUGGGGAGCAAACAGGAUUAGAUACCCUGGUAGUCCNCGCCCUAAACGAUGUCAACUGGUUGUUGGGAAGGUUCCUUCUCAGUAACGUAGCUAACGCGUGAAGUUGACCGCCUGGGGAGUACGGCCGCAAGGUUG
rnacentral:rRNA from 1 species